AAAGCCACGGCUAACUACGUGCCAGCAGCCGCGGUAAUACUUAGGUGGCAAGCGUUAUCCGGAAUUAUUGGGCGUAAAGCGCGCGCAAGCGGUCUCUUAAGUCUGAUGUGAAAGCCCACGGCUCAACCGUGGAGGGUCAUUGGAAACUGGGAGACUUGAGUGCAGGAGAGAAAAGUGGAAUUCCACGUGUAGCGGUGAAAUGCGUAGAGAUGUGGAGGAACACCAGUGGCGAAGGCGGCUUUUUGGCCUGUAACUGACGCUGAGGCCCGAAAGCGUGGGGAGCAAACAGGAUU
rnacentral:rRNA from 1 species